AGCGCAGGGUAGAGGAUGGCCAGAGGACAAAGAAGGUAGAGACACUGGACAACCAGCUGCAGAGAGGAAUACACUCUCCACUGAGCGCUUCAGGGACAACCUGCUGGCAGAGAAGGGCUACUCUCUCUGCUGAGAGCUUCAGAGACCUGCAGAGAAGUCGGAAUGACUCGCCUGUGGAAAGGAACCACCUUCUCCAGGGCCUCCUGUCGGCAAAGAGCUGAACACUCGACUGGACGACCUGCCUACAGAGAGGAGCUACCCAUUCCUCUGAGCUGUUCUAACACUAAAUAAAACUCUUCUUCACCCUUCA
rnacentral:lncRNA from 1 species